rnacentral:lncRNA from 1 species
GGUUAAUCAUUUCUCUGCCAUUAUCUGCCAACAGUUCUUAUCUCUUUUGCUGUCACUUUAUAACAGGGUCUCUUAUCAAGCUGUACUAAAUCACGUGAUGGUGCCAAACCUAUCACAAGUUGCAAUUCUUCUGAUUAGAGACUAUCAUGAAAUGGGAUAUAUGGUUUACAGCAGGUCACUAAUGCUGGAAAAAGUACAGAGUCCACUCAAAGACAUGCUCGUUACUUUCUGAAUUCUUGGAUAAUUUUUUUGUUGUUGUUGUUCAUCACUCUGACUUUCACUUAAGGCUAUCAUAGCCUGGGUCUCAAGGCCAGAAAAGUUUACAGGCUGCACCUCUCCUGUACUCAAUGCUGUACCCCUUGUACCCAAGGAUACGAUAUAUUUACACCUAACAAUGUCUUCUGGUUCCCACGCAGCCAUCAUACAGGAAUCUAUAAAACAUGGACUUACAUCUGCUGCUGCUGCUUCUCCCAAGGAAGGACUCCCAUCUUGGACCCAACCAUCUUUCAGCCAGAUGUCCCAUCAGAGUCUCCAUGCUUCUCUACAGGUAUGGGGUGCUCCUCUGCACAGCUCUGCCCCCAGAAAUAUAUGGAAAAAUGGUGGCAAGCCCAGCUUGCCCUCCAGGUCUUUAACUGUUACUCCUUCUGGUUUGCACAGAAGAACCCUCUGGAUCCCUCUCCUGAGAAAUAGUAAAAUAACUAUUCAUUUCAUGUAUCUGAAUAGUGGUCACUCAGAUAAGGUUUCUUAAGGUGAAAGGAUAAAACCCUAGGAGAAGGGGAAAAUAAGACACUCACCUGGGAUAUUUAGACCAAUUAAAUGCCAUUUUCAUGGUUCAGAAGACUGUCAGGUCUCUAUUCCCAAAAUCAGGUGGAUAUGAGAAAACAGAUUGCUACAGAGAGUAGCAGAGACUCUUGUCACAAUACCACUUAUACUUGUGCUGUGUCACAAAUAUACCAAGACAGAUUCACAAAGCAUGGUCCAGAAAUAAGCAGGCCUAAAUCUUGUGAAACUUUCCAAAAUCCUCUGUACUCUGAGUCAGGGGAAGGAUUCUCUCCUUCUGUGACACUACUCAGCCAGAACCCAUGGUAAGCUCCCUGAAAAGCUCACCUAACUCAGCCUUGUGAACUGAUCACCACAUACCUGUAAGGGUUAAUUGGAACCUGCCACCAACCUGACGGCCUCUGCUCGCAGCUGGGGGAACCAAAUAGGAAGGAGCCAGAUUCUGUUCUUAUUUGCACUGGGGAGUGAUUUUUUAGGAGAAAAAGCUGUCCUCCCAGGAUAUAAGUACGGUCAGCAGCAGGGUCACGUGCUCAUAAGAGUAAAUCCUAUCCCUAGAUUUUUGCUUUUGUCCAGUCAUGCCUGGCAUCUCCUUCACUUUUUUCUUUCUAGCCAAGGCAGAGUGGGUGGGCUUGUGAGAGGCUGUCUCAGCCUCUGCAGCUCAGCCCAGCAGCCCCUCAGGCCAGGGACACUUGCUGCUUCCCACCACAGAGGCUGAGUUGUCCUCGUCAGGGAGCACCUGCUUUGCUGGAUGCACUCUGCACAUUCCCCCAUCUGGCAAUAAGUUAGUUUUUGCUAUAAACCACUGGCAUGUCACAGCUUCCUCCCAGCAAUGAAGGCAUCUUCCAGCUCCCAUGAAUGCAAAUCAGACUCUACUGAUAUAAAUAGCAGUGGAUCUCUCCCUUGGAGAGCAAACACAACCAGCCUGGAAGCUGGAGUGUGAAUGGGCACUACUGGUUGUUGACACCUGCUUUUAGUCAUAUGAUCAAAGAGGCAACUAGAAUUCACAAAACCUUAAUAGUACAUCCUAUCUUCCGGAUGAAUGAACACCAUAUGAACUUAUAAAUGUUUUUAUGGAAGUGCCAUGAUUGUUUUCUUCUAUCAGAUUCUGAAGCAAUACAAAGAUACUUGACUAGUUUUAUUUUUCCUGUAAUCAGCCUCUUGUCUUAGUGUCAUCAGGGACACUAUGCAAUUUUUAUAAGCAUUAGCUAUGAUUAUUUAACAGAAAUAACUAUUUAAUUAACAAAAAAAAAAUGGUUAUAUAAGAGGAAGAAUAAUCUACUUGUAGUUUUCAACUGUGACAUUUUUCAGCUUGUAGAAUGUCCUCAGGCAAUUAACAGUAUUGAAAUCGGGGUUCAUGAGUUUGGUGAAGUUAGUUUUUAUGUUUAGUAGUAAUAGGAAUAGUAGCAUUUUAAUAUGAUUAACAAAGACAGCAUAUGCUAUCUUUAAAAGUUUGGAUCAGGAUUUUGGCCAGCAUUUAUGCAGGCAUAACUUUCACAGAACUGAACAGUUUGAGCUGUGUGAGGGCUGUAAGACAUGCCAUAGGUUAUUUUCUUGUAUCAGUCGACUUUUGCUGUUACUCUUUACAUUUAUCAAUUUCCUUCCCACUUUUCAUGUCUUCAUUUACUUAUACUGCAAAUGAGCUUCCUACAAAAGGGGCAGUAUUUACAUUUACAUCUAUUUUUUUCUGUUAGUCUGAUUUUCAAUACCAAAAUACAUGAGGCAAAGGAAAGAUUAUGCCUGUGGUCUUCUGAGGGAGAUCUCCACUACAGACAAAAUGCCUUAAGCUACUUGUCUUUGUGGGUAAUUUAAAGGUCAGCUCUCAAACUAGUCUUUUAUAUAUAUAUAUAUAUAUAUAUAGGGUGAAAAUGAAGAAUUGUCUGCAGGAGUUGUGUGUGUCUGUCUUGUGGGGAAACUCAUUAAAACUUCUUCUGACAGAUCAUUAUUAAUGCCUAGAGUUUACUCAUAUAUUACAUGAGUACAUAUAUAUAUUAUAUCUAUAUGCAACCUUAUAUAUUAAUACAUAUUAAUACAUUCUUAUGUGCAAUGAAAAGAAAUGCAUGUGUACAGAAUCCUUAUAAAGAUUUCUCAGGGUAAACUAUGCCUAGUUUAUCUUUUCAUAGUUUAUGAUUUUACAUUAUGUUAUUAUGGAUAAAUCUUGGGACAGAUAGAUAUGUACAAGCGUGAACUUUUUUCAUUAUAAAGAUCAGCUAUAAAAAUUAUUUUUAAAUAAAGUUUUCCAAGCUUUGAAACA